UCAAACUUGAAAGAACUUAGAGAGUUGAACUUUUGAGAAUUGUAAAAGUUUGGUUGAGCUUCUAAGGGUGGGGAGUCUUGAAUUCUUACAAUGUCUUGCAAUAGCAAACUGCAAUGCCUUGAGUAUUCCUUUGAUUGAAAAUUGGUACCAGGCACGUUGUGAAGGUGUGAUAAUCUUAAGAUUUGGAUUCAAGUCAUUAGAUAUGUAAGUUUGGUAAGUUGCAGAAUUCCAACACAUUUGAGGCAGUAUGCAUGGGUUCGAAAUGUUGUUCCCACUCUUAAUGAUGAUCACAUUAAUGGAAUUGGUGUUAG